UACGAAGGGGGGCUAGCGUUGCUCGGAAUUACUGGGCGUAAAGGGAGCGUAGGCGGAUAGUUUAAGUCAGAGGUGAAAAGCCCCAGGGCUCAACCUUGGAAUUUGCCUUUUGAUACUGGCUAUCUUGAGUAUGGGAGAGGUAAGCGGAACUCCGAGUGUAGAGGUGAAAUUCGUAGAUAUUCGGAAAGAACACCAGUGGCGAAAGGCGG
rnacentral:rRNA from 1 species